rnacentral:rRNA from 1 species
GAUGAACGCUGGCGGCGUGCCUAAUACAUGCAAGUCGAACGGAGAGAUUGUAGCAAUACGGUCUCUUAGUGGCGAACGGGUGAGUAACGCGUUGGUGACCUGCCCCGAAGAGGGGGAUAACAGUCCGAAAGGAUUGCUAAUACCCCAUACGGCCAUUGAGAUUAGAAGCUCGAUGUCCAAAGGAGAAAUUCGCUUCGGGAGGGGCCUGCGUCCCAUCAGCUAGUUGGUAAGGUAACGGCUUACCAAGGCGACGACGGGUUGGGGACCUGAGAGGGUGGCCCCCCACAAUGGAACUGAAACACGGUCCAUACACCUACGGGUGGCAGCAGUAGGGAAUAUUAGUUAAUGUGCGAAAGCGCGAACUAGCAACGCCGCGUGUGCGAUGAAGGCCUUCGGGUCGUAAAGCACUUUUCGAGAAGAUGAGGAAGGACAGUACUCUCGGAAUAAGUCUCGGCUAACUACGUGCCAGCAGCCGCAGUAACAC